UACAUACUGUGCGAACGUUAUUCGGAUUCACUGGGCUUAAAGGGUGCGUAGGCGGCUCGUUAAGUAGGGUGUGAAAGCCCCUGGCUCAACCAGGGAAUUGCAUUCUAUACUGGCGGGCUAGAGUGUGAUAGGGGUGUGUGGAACUGCCAGUGGAGCGGUGAAAUGUGUUGAUAUUGGCAGGAACGCCGGUGGCGAAAGCGACACACUGGGUCUCAACUGACGCUGAGGCACGAAAGCCAGGGGAGCGAACGGG
rnacentral:rRNA from 1 species